GAUGAACGCUGGCGGCGUGCCUAAUACAUGCAAGUCGAGCGAACAGACGAGGAGCUUGCUCCUCUGACGUUAGCGGCGGACGGGUGAGUAACACGUGGAUAACCUACCUAUAAGACUGGGAUAACUUCGGGAAACCGGAGCUAAUACCGGAUAAUAUAUCGAACCGCAUGGUUCAAUAGUGAAAGACGGUUUUGCUGUCACUUAUAGAUGGAUCCGCGCCGCAUUAGCUAGUUGGUAAGGUAACGGCUUACCAAGGCAACGAUGCGUAGCCGACCUGAGAGGGUGAUCGGCCACACUGGAACUGAGACACGGUCCAGACUCCUACGGGAGGCAGCAGUAGGGAAUCUUCCGCAAUGGGCGAAAGCCUGACGGAGCAACGCCGCGUGAGUGAUGAAGGUCUUCGGAUCGUAAAACUCUGUUAUUAGGGAAGAACAAAUGUGUAAGUAACUAUGCACGUCUUGACGGUACCUAAUCAGAAAGCCACGGCUAACUACGU
rnacentral:rRNA from 1 species